rnacentral:rRNA from 1 species
GUGGGGAAUUUUGGACAAUGGGCGCAAGCCUGAUCCAGCAAUGCCGCGUGCAGGAAGAAGGCCUUCGGGUUGUAAACUGCUUUUGUACGGAACGAAAAGCCUCUGGUUAAUACCCGGGGGUCAUGACGGUACCGUAAGAAUAAGCACCGGCUAACUACGUGCCAGCAGCCGCGGUAAUACGUAGGGUGCGAGCGUUAAUCGGAAUUACUGGGCGUAAAGCGUGCGCAGGCGGUGAUGUAAGACAGUUGUGAAAUCCCCGGGCUCAACCUGGGAACUGCAUCUGUGACUGCAUUGCUGGAGUGCGGCAGAGGGGGAUGGAAUUCCGCGUGUAGCAGUGAAAUGCGUAGAUAUGCGGAGGAACACCGAUGGCGAAGGCAAUCCCCUGGGCCUGCACUGACGCUCAUGCACGAAAGCGUGGGGAGCAAACAGGAUUAGAAACCCGGGUAGUCC